CAGCCGCCGCGGUAAUACGAAGGGGGCUAGCGUUGUUCGGAUUUACUGGGCGUAAAGGGCGCGUAGGCGGACUGAUAAGUCAGGGGUGAAAUCCCAAGGCUCAACCUUGGAACUGCCUUUGAUACUGUUUGUCUUGAGUUCGAGAGAGGUAAGUGGAACUGCGAGUGUAGAGGUGAAAUUCGUAGAUAUUCGCAAGAACACCAGUGGCGAAGGCGGCUUACUGGCUCGAAACUGACGCUGAGGCGCGGAAGCGUGGGGAGCAAACAGGAUUAGAUACCCGGGUAGUCCCUGUCUCUUAUAC
rnacentral:rRNA from 1 species